GUGCCAGCCGCCGCGGUAAUACAGAGGGUGCGAACGUUGCUCGGAAUUACUGGGCGUAAAGCGCGUGUAGGCGGGGUCGCAAGUCAGAUGUGAAAUCCCCGGGCUCAACCCGGGAACUGCAUCUGAAACUGCGAUCCUUGAGUGCCGGAGAGGGUGGCGGAAUUCUUGGUGUAGAGGUGAAAUUCGUAGAUAUCAGGAGGAACACCGGUGGCGAAGGCGGCCACCUGGACGGCUACUGACGCUGAGACGCGAAAGCGUGGGGAGCAAACAGGAUUAGAAACCCUCGUAGUCC
rnacentral:rRNA from 1 species